UCCCAGAUAAUGCUUUUCAGAAAAGUGUUGUUGGGAAGGACUGGGAUGUGAGUCACAGAGUUGCCUCUGUGCUUGUUGGUGGCCUUAAAUUGGCCGGUGUAGGAUUUGUUUCUAGCAUCGGGGCGGUGGCUUCAUCGAAUAUCUUGUUUGCAAUGCGCAAAGUAUUCAAUCCGACCUUUACUGCUGUCCAGAAGAACAAGCGAUCGCCAAUAUUGAAAACGGCGCUUGUGUAUUCAUCAUUUCUUGGUACAUCUGCAAAUCUGCGUUAUCAGGUUAUUGCAGGAUUGGUAGAGCACCGGCUUGCAGAUCAAUUUUCUGACCAAACAUUAUUUGUAAAUAUGCUAUCUUUUGUUGUUCGAACGAUCAACUCCUAUUGGGGAACCCAGCAAUGGAUCGACCUUGCGCGGGUUACAGGAUUGCAGGCCCGCAAGAGCGAGCGAGUUCCUGAUCUUGUUCCAGAUUCUGCAAAUCCUACUGCAGUUGGUUGCAAUACUCCAGAAGAUACCAAUACUGAUGAAAUCAACAGUCAAUAGUAACACUUCCACUUAUCUUCUCUACUUUCUAGCAUUACUUGUAAGCAGCAGUUUUGAUUCUUUUGCUGUAUAUCAUUCAAUUUAUAGCCUGUCAAUAUACACAGUUUAUAAACUUUGAG
rnacentral:misc_RNA from 1 species